AUGACAAACAUCAUCAAAUUCAUCUGGACUCUACUGCUCUGUAUUGCAGCAUGCAGAGGCCAAAUUACUGUGACUCAGACUCCAGCAGUGAAAGCUGCUCUUGUGGGACAAACCAUCACACUCAACUGCAGGACCAGCACAAACCUUGAUGGACAUUGUGGCUCUGGCAACUGUCUCUCCUGGUACCUCCAGAAACCUGGAGACGCUCCUAAACUGUUAAUCUAUUAUAUAAGCACCCGCUAUGGAUCAACUCCCAGUCGCUUUGUUAGUGGAGGAUCCAAUAAAGGUAGUGACUUUACUCUGACCAUCAGUGAUGUCCAGGCUGAGGAUGCAGGAGUUUACUAUUGUCAGAGUUUCCACUAUCCCAACAGCAAGCAUGCGUUCACACAGUGGUAA